GACGAACGCUGGCGGCGUGCUUAACACAUGCAAGUCGAACGAGAGCGUAGAGAAAGCUUGCUUUUUCUACAAUCUAGUGGCAAACGGGUGAGUAACGCGUAAACAACCUGCCCUACGGAUGGGGACAACAGCUGGAAACGGCUGCUAAUACCGAAUACGUUCCGAAAGUCGCAUGACUAUCGGAAGAAAGGAUGGCCUCUAUUUAUAAGCUAUCGCCGGAGGAGGGGUUUGCGUCUGAUUAGCUAGUUGGAGGGGUAACGGCCCACCAAGGCGACGAUCAGUAGCCGGUCUGGGAGGAUGAACGGCCACAUUGGAACUGAGACACGGUCCAGACUCCUACGGGAGGCAGCAGUGGGGAAUCUUCCGCAAUGGGCGAAAGCCUGACGGAGCAACGCCGCGUGAGUGAAGACGGCCUUCGGGUUGUAAAGCUCUGUUAUACGGGACGAAUAAUCUUGUGGUUAAUACCCAUGAGAAGUGACGGUACCGUAAGAGAAAGCCACGGCUAACUACGUG
rnacentral:rRNA from 1 species